rnacentral:tRNA from 1 species
GGAAGGUGAAAUCACAGCAGAUUGCAAAUUUGAAGAAGCACCCAGAAAGGUGCCCCGGCU